rnacentral:lncRNA from 1 species
CUAUUUUCUCUAAUAUUUCUGUAUAUGUUUCACUUAUAUCUGAGCCUUGUUCUGAACAAUUUUCAAUCUAUAUCAACAUUAUCAACUCUUAUAUCUGGAGUUUCUUUUUCUUCAGUUAAUUUUUCUUUAAAUUUUUCUAUUUCCAUUUUUAAUUCUGUUUUCCAUUGUUUUUUCUUUUUGUUUGGCUGCAUAUAAUUCUUUAAGCAUGGCUAAUUCUUUUUCUAAGGCAAUUAUCUUAUCAUUUUUUACUUCUUCUAUUUGUUGUAUUUCUAAUUUUGCUUGUUGCUUAAUUGUAUCUAUUUCUCUUUUUCUGUCAAUUUCUUCAUUUUCUUUAUUUAUUCGUACCAUGGCAAUUAAACUAUCUUCUAAUUUUUUUGUUUCUUUUUCUAUCAUUAGAUAUAAGUUUUCGCCUAUCUUCUUGUAUCGUCUUCCUAAAUUUGAAAAUAUUAUCUUUAUUUUUAAUCAUUCUAGAUUUUCGUAAAUUUUUUCUUCUAUGGCAAAUUCUUCCUUAUUCAUCUUAAAUUAUGUUUCAAUUUAUACUCUAUUGCUUGUAUUUCUAGUUGUAGGUUAAAUAUUAUUUUUCUUUGUGCUAGCAAAGAUUUUUGACAUACUCCUGCAUAUAUAUUAUGUUGAAGCCUUUCUUGUCUAUAUUUUAAUUCUUGUCGUUUUUUAAUUACNN